AUCACGUUAAAACCCGGUUCUGUACGAUUACCGAAGUUAAGAAACCUCGAGCCUGCUCAGUACUUAGAUGGGUAACCGCUUGGGAAAAUGAGG